CCUGUUCCACAGUGACGGGGCUCCUAAAAUAAAUUAAAUACACGAGGAAGAAAGGCAAGGAAGGGGGUGGUUGGUGCUGGAGAGGUGGUCGCAGAGAGCACUUUGGGGUAUGCCAUGUGGGGAAGCACCAUGAAGAUGCUCACUGCAAGUACCUAC